AUCCCGUGUUGUGGGCAUGAACUAACAAGAUCCUUGAACUACCCCCAACAUUGAAAGAAUGUUUCAUCUUCCUUUUGGGUAAAGUUUAUGAUUGACUUUCUGAUAGU